UUAUUACUUGUCAUGUUAACGUCUAAGCAAACAAUUUUACUUGACCUAAAUCUUAAGGAAUUAGUCCUUUUUGGAAUUCUCCUUUAUCUAAUUUUUUUAACAUUUUUGAUAUUAAUUCAUAAAUACGCAAUGAGAUCCAUUUUCUGUCCAUUUUCUGAAUUACUACUCCAUUAUACAAGAAAAGACUGUUUAAUGAGUUGUCCUACGUGUGGAAUGCAACAAGGACCUAAAAGUGUGUUCUGUUGUAAAAGAAGACACACAGUUUAUAUAAGAUUAUAAGGGCCACACAAAGAGUAUAAAAUAUUUAGAAAAAUAUAAAAAUUUAAAGCAAUAAGGCGGCCACUCUUCAAUGAAGAAAAUUGUUAACUCUAAAUUAAAUUAUUUUUUUAUAAAUAAUAAACUUAUUUUUUUGUCUA